rnacentral:rRNA from 1 species
CUACGUGCCAGCAGCCGCGGUAAUACGUAGGUGGCAAGCGUUGUCCGGAAUUAUUGGGCGUAAAGCGCGCGCAGGCGGAUUGGUCAGUCUGUCUUAAAAGUUCGGGGCUUAACCCCGUGAUGGGAUGGAAACUGCCAAUCUAGAGUAUCGGAGAGGAAAGUGGAAUUCCUAGUGUAGCGGUGAAAUGCGUAGAUAUUAGGAAGAACACCAGUGGCGAAGGCGACUUUCUGGACGAAAACUGACGCUGAGGCGCGAAAGCCAGGGGAGCGAACGGGAUUAGAUACCCCGGUAGUCCUGGCCGUAAACGAUGGGUACUAGGUGUAGGAGGUAUCGAACCCUUCUGUGCCGGAGUUAACGCAAUAAGUACCCCGCCUGGGGAGUACGACCGCAAGGUUGAAACUCAAAGGAAUUGACGGGGGCCCGCACAAGCGGUGGAGUAUGUGGUUUAAUUCGACGCAACGCGAGGAACCUUACCAGGUCUUGACAU